ACGUACACUCCUACGGAGGCAGCAGUGGGGAAUUUUAGACAAUGGGCGAAAGCCUGAUCCAGCAAUGCCGCGUGAGUGAAGAAGGCCUUCGGGUUGUAAAGCUCUUUUGUCAGGGAAGAAACGGUGAGAGCUAAUAUCUUUUGCUAAUGACGGUACCUGAAGAAUAAGCACCGGCUAACUACGUGCCAGCAGCCGCGGUAAUACGUAGGGUGCAAGCGUUAAUCGGAAUUACUGGGCGUAAAGCGUGCGCAGGCGGUUUUGUAAGUCUGAUGUGAAAUCCCCGGGCUCAACCUGGGAAUUGCAUUGGAGACUGCAAGGCUAGAAUCUGGCAGAGGGGGGUAGAAUUCCACGUGUAGCAGUGAAAUGCGUAGAUAUGUGGAGGAACACCGAUGGCGAAGGCAGCCCCCUGGGUCAAGAUUGACGCUCAUGCACGAAAGCGUGGGGAGCAAACAGGAUUAGAAACCCGAGUAGUCCCAUGA
rnacentral:rRNA from 1 species